rnacentral:rRNA from 1 species
GACGAACGCUGGCGGCGUGCUUAACACAUGCCAGUCGAACGGAAAGGCCCUGCUUUUGUGGGGUGCUCGAGUGGCGAACGGGUGAGUAACACGUGAGUAACCUGCCCUUGACUUUGGGAUAACUUCAGGAAACUGGGGCUAAUACCGGAUAGGAGAUCCUGCUGCAUGGGGGGGGUUGGAAAGUUUCGGCGGUUGGGGAUGGACUCGCGGCUUAUCAGCUUGUUGGUGGGGUAGUGGCUUACCAAGGCUUUGACGGGUAGCCGGCCUGAGAGCGUGACCGGCCUCAUUGGGCCUGAGAUACGGCCCAGUCUCCUACGGGACGCAGCGGGGGGGAAUAUUGCACAAUGGGCGGAAGCCUGAUGCAGCAACGCCGCGUGCGGGAUGACGUCCUUCGGGUUGUAAACCGCUUUCGCCUGUGACGAAGCGUUAGUGACGGUAAUUGGUAAAGAAGCACCGGCUAACUACGUG